AUUGAACGCUGGCGGCAGGCCUAACACAUGCAAGUCGAGCGAGAGGCGGACGGGUGAGUAAUGUAUGGGGAUCUGACCGAUGGAGGGGGAUAACUACUGGACACGGUGGCUACUGACGCAUACUCUCGGAUGGACCGAUAUGGGAUUAGCUAGUGGGUGGGGUAAAGGCUCCCCGAGGCUCCGAUCUCUAGCUGGUCUGAGAGGAUGAUCAGCCACACUGGAACUGAGACACGGCCCAGACUCCUACGGGAGGCAGCAGUGGGGAAUAUUGCACAAUGGGCGAAAGCCUGAUACAGCCAUGCCGCGUGUAUGAAGAAGGCCUUCGGGUUGUAAAGUACUUUCAGUCGGGAGGCGUUACCGACAGAAGAAGCACCGGCUAACUCCGUGCCAGCAGCCGCGGUAAUAC
rnacentral:rRNA from 1 species